AGCGAACGCUGGCGGCAGGCUUAACACAUGCAAGUCGAACGCCCCGCAAGGGGAGUGGCAGACGGGUGAGUAACACGUGGGAACGUACCCUUUGGUUCGGAAUAACUUGGGGAAACUCAAGCUAAUACCGGAUAAGCCCUUAUGGGGAAAGGUUUACUGCCGAAGGAUCGGCCCGCGUCUGAUUAGCUAGUUGGUGAGGUAACGGCUCACCAAGGCGACGAUCAGUAGCUGGUCUGAAAGGAUGAUCAGCCACACUGGGACUGAGACACGGCCCAGACUCCUACGGGAGGCAGCAGUGGGGAAUAUUGGACAAUGGGGGCAACCCUGAUCCAGCCAUGCCGCGUGAGCGAUGAAGGCCUUAGGGUUGUAAAGCUCUUUUACCCGGGACGAUAAUGACUGUACCGGGAGAAUAAGCCCCGGCUAACUUCGUGCCAGCCGCCGCCGUAA
rnacentral:rRNA from 1 species